ACACAUGCAAGUCGAACGUGAUUUUUGUGGAAAUCUUUCGGGAAUGGAAAUGAAAUGAAAGUGGCGAACGGGUGAGUAACACGUGAGCAACCUACCUUACACAGGGGGAUAGCCGUUGGAAACGACGAUUAAUACCGCAUGAGACCACAGAAUCGCAUGAUAUAGGGGUCAAAGAUUUAUCGGUGUAAGAAGGGCUCGCGUCUGAUUAGCUAGUUGGAAGGGUAAAGGCCUACCAAGGCGACGAUCAGUAGCCGGUCUGAGAGGAUGAACGGCCACAUUGGAACUGAGACACGGUCCAAACUCCUACGGGAGGCAGCAGUGGGGAAUAUUGCACAAUGGGGGGAACCCUGAUGCAGCGACGCCGCGUGAGCGAAGAAGGUUUUCGAAUCGUAAAGCUCUGUCCUAUGAGAAGAUAAUGACGGUAUCAUAGGAGGAAGCCCCGGCUAAAUACGUGCCAGCAGCCGCGGUAAUACGUAUGGGGCGAGCGUUGUCCGGAAUUAUUGGGCGUAAAGGGUACGUAGGCGGUUUUUUAAGUCAGGUGUGAAAGCGUGAGGCUUAACCUCAUUAAGCACUUGAAACUGGAAGACUUGAGUGAAGGAGAGGAAAGUGGAAUUCCUAGUGUAGCGGUGAUAUGCGUAGAUAUUAGGAGGAAUACCGGUGGCGAAGGCGACUUUCUGGACUUUUACUGACGCUCAGG
rnacentral:rRNA from 1 species